CGGCAGGCCUAAUACAUGCAAGUCGGACGGGAUUGGAGAGCUUGCUUUCCAUGAGAGUGGCGCACGGGUGCGUAACACGUAUGUAACCUACCUUCAUCAGGGGGAUAGCCUCUCGAAAGAGAGAUUAACACCGCAUAACAUCGUAGGGCAGCAUUGCUUAGUGAUCAAAUAUUUAUAGGAUGAAGAUGGGCAUGCGGGACAUUAGCUAGAUGGUGAGGUAACGGCUCACCAUGGCGACGAUGUCUAGGGGAUCUGAGAGGAUGACCCCCCACGCUGGUACUGAGACACGGACCAGACUCCUACGGGAGGCAGCAGUAAGGAAUAUUGGUCAAUGGAGGCAACUCUGAACCAGCCAUGCCGCGUGCAGGAAGACGGCCCUACGGGUUGUAAACUGCUUUUGUACCGGAAUAAACCUUUUCACGUGUGAGAAGCUGAAUGUACGGUAAGA
rnacentral:rRNA from 1 species